rnacentral:lncRNA from 1 species
UGUAAAUCUGUGUAUUAAUGAACAAUAUUUUCAACAUAAUUCAUAUUUACAUGAUAAUUAUUAUUUAUUUAUGGUGGGUCAUCCAAUGAUUCUGUUCUGCCAAGUCCAGCACAGCCAGCAGCACCAAAAAUUAUUUCUUGUUCAUUUCAUUCUCAAACAUCAAUAAAGGUUAGGUUCAUACAUAGAACAGGUGGGAACA